UGCUUUGGGGUGUUGCAUUACUUGG
rnacentral:piRNA from 1 species